UACGGAGGGUGCAAGCGUUGUCCGGAUUUAUUGGGUUUAAAGGGCGCGUAGGCGGCCGAUCAAGUCAGAGGUGAAAGCCCAGGGCUCAACCCUGGAAUUGCCUUUGAUACUGUUCGGCUCGAGACCGGAAGAGGUUAGUGGAACUGCGAGUGUAGAGGUGAAAUUCGUAGAUAUUCGCAAGAACACCAGUGGCGAAGGCGGCUAACUGGUCCGGUUCGACGCUGAGGCGCGAAACGUGGGGCAACGG
rnacentral:rRNA from 1 species